rnacentral:rRNA from 1 species
UACGAAGGGGGCGAGCGUUGUUCGGAUUUACUGGGCGUAAAGGGCGCGCAGGCGGUCAUUUUUUGUCGAGUGUGAAAGCCCCCGGGCUUAACCUGGGAACUGCGCUCGAAACGGGAUGACUAGAGAUCGGGAGAGGAGAGUGGAAUUCCCAGUGUAGAGGUGAAAUGCGCAGAUAUCAGGAAGAACACCCGUGGCGAAGGCGGCUCUCUGGGACGGUACUGACGCUGAGACGCGAAAGCGUGGGUAGCAAACAGG